CCUACGGGAGGCAGCAGUAGGGAAUAUUGCUCAAUGGGGGAAACCCUGAAGCAGCAACGCCGCGUGGAGGAUGAAGGUUUUCGGAUUGUAAACUCCUUUUGUUAGAGAAGAUAAUGACGGUAUCUAACGAAUAAGCACCGGCUAACUCCGUGCCAGCAGCCGCGGUAAUACGGAGGUUGCAAGCGUUACUCGGAGUCACUGGUCGUAAAGAGCGCGUAGGCGGGUUAGCAAGUCGGAUGGUAAAGCCUAUGGCUUAACCAUAGAACUGCAUUGGAAAUUGUUAUCAUAGGUUAUGGAAGAGGUAGUUGAAUUUCAUGUGGAGGGGUGAAAGUCGGAGAGAUAUAGAAGAAUACCUGAUGGGAAAG
rnacentral:rRNA from 1 species